GACGAAGGGGGCUAGCGUUGUUCGGAAUUACUGGGCGUAAAGCGCGUGUAGGCGGUUAUCCAAGUCGGGUGUGAAAGCCUUGAGCUUAACUCAAGAAAUGCACUCGGUACUGGGUGACUAGAGGACCGGAGAGGAUAGUGGAAUUCCCAGUGUAGUGGUGAAAUACGUAGAGAUUGGGAAGAACACCAGUGGCGAAGGCGGCUAUCUGGACAGUUCCUGACGCUGAGGCACGAAGGCCAGGGGAGCAAACGGGG
rnacentral:rRNA from 1 species